rnacentral:lncRNA from 1 species
UUGGUACUCUGAACCGAGAAUCAAAAAAAAUUUUAAAAAAAUACAUGUAUAAACUCAAAAGACGACCAAGAUAUCAAGGAAACAAAAUACUUCAUAUUGUAACGAAUAGUUUUAAAGUGAAGUCAUACAUCCAUAAAGUUAUGUCCUGUCCAAACAAAUUCACCCAAUAAUGAAACAAGCAAAACUCAGCGAAGCUCCUUAUUCACAAGACCUUUUUGAUCCUUCCUUUAACAAGUUAUAGAGAUUCACUUUGUCAAAAUACGUUAAAAGAACUUAAAGAUCCUUUAAUAUCAAUAUGACAUUCCCUCUGCUAAAAUAAUAAUUCCGAAGGCUAUUCUAAUUUAACACAUAAGAGGAAAUGAGCAAUGAAUUUAAUCCAGGGCUAAAGGGCUGCGUGAUACUUUUUAAGGGAUAGCUUUGGCAUGGGUACUUAUUUCAUUCUCUUCCUCUCUUGUGCGGAUCCAAAAGAACCUCGCACAUCAAGAAGGUCAUAGAGGGAUCUUUGAAUGAAAUAUUCCCCUUCUAUAAUCCUACUCCACCAUUCUCAUCUACAUUGUGAGUAAAGAAAAUUCGGGAGAGACUCUAACACACUUGGAAAGAACGAAACAGUCUAAGCAACUACCAAGAGCAAAAUCAAGGACGAUAAAAGGUUUUUAGGACAGAACCAUAAACCAAAAAAAAGAGCUAAACGAAUGAGCAGCAUAUGUAUGCAAGAGAAAACAGCACAUCAACUCAAAAUAUCAUUAUGAUACAGAGGUGACUUCGUAUUUAAGUCUAGCCCUCAUAUGAAAUAACUUCCAAGACUGAAGCAACAGACUAUCUUCACAUACACAAUAGCCUUUUCCGUCUUAAACUC